UACAAGCUGCGUUGUACGUAACGAUAAUAAAGUUUUAACCUUUAAGCUGUUAUAGGGAGUUUUACAUCGAAACUGGAUUGUCAUACCUCUGUCUAAAUGACAAGGAGGCAGACGAGAACGUUUUUGCGAGCACCCACUUUGAGGAGUGUGGUUAAAAACUUUCUUACUCAAGUUACGGCAAAGGCGGCCAUACA
rfam:Bacillus ginsengihumi strain M2.11 NODE_94, whole genome shotgun sequence.